rnacentral:lncRNA from 7 species
AAGGACACAGAAUGAAAUGCUGAUUUAGGAAGCUCUAAAUGUUUAAUUUGGAGGUUUCAAGAGCAGACUUAGCUGAGUAUUCUGAUGGGGCUGCAGCAGCACAGCCUCCUGUCUGUAACAUGGACAGUGCUCCCAGAAAGAGCAGCCUGGAUUCCCCCAAAGACAUCUGUGUCGAAUUGAUGAUGAGCUUGGCUGGCAUCUUAGAAAGAUCUUGAGCUGACAAGAUUAACCCUCAAAUGCCGUGGGAUGCAAAGGGCACGCCAUUUGAGAAGAGGGGCACACACACGACUUGGCAGCUGGAAAAAGCUGCCAGACUCAGCUAAAUGCAAGUCUUCUAUCCCGUGUGGUAAGCUCAAAACUGGGGGAGAGGAUGAAAUUACUUCUGUUGGCUUUCAGUGUGUUGUUUUUUUUCCCCUUUGUGGGUGUAUGUAUUUGCUAUGACAGUGACCUCUGUGGAGGCUCUAUCAGGAGUUAUGGACUGUGUCACAUCUUUCUGCACCGCAUCUUGGGAGAUCCUAAACAUCAUCUUAUGAGGGCCUUAGUGCUCCUCUUCCCAAUUGGAGAAAUUCUCCAUAGCAGACACUCGAUGCUAAUGCCGUAUUGUUGGAUACUGUGUGCAUCCAGAAGAUACACCAGCAUGCCCUUGAUGUUUUCCUGGAGAAAACCAUUAACUGGAAUGGUGAGCAAACUGAAAGUGAAGGGAAAGCAGUUGGCUGCAUGUGGGACUGUGCAAACUGCUGCUACCUGGUGCCAGCCACGAGCAAAAUGGAAUGGAAGGAGCCACUCCUUGCAUGGCACGUGCUGUGGUCACUGCAGCAAGAUUUAUUUGUGCUGGAGGAAGAGCUGACCUUCAUAAACUGUAAACAGUCCUUGACAGAAAUAUGUACCUAUGGCCUUGUCAGCUCUCUGAGGUUUUGUCUGUGUUGUUCCCCUGGUGAAUGUGUUGGCAAACUUCCUCUAGCAGAGCCAGCAAAAUUUUGUCCUUCCUGGCCUCCUGGUCCAGCCCUGUCCGUCCCAGAGAGAGACUAAAGAGCCACCAGCCAAGAGAUGGUUGCUUUAUGGCUGGGUCUUUGGUGCAGUGAUGCCGGUUAGAAUUUGCAGGCCACUGUGUUUGGGUGGUUGUGUUCCCUGCAUGGGAAUGAGUUGAUGUAUGUCAUAACAGCACCGCUGAAAGGUCAUUGACUGUCUUGGUGAAUCCAGCUUCUGUUCCCAACGCAUGCAAGUAUUUGUAGAGCCGUGCCAAAAAAAAUGUGAUGUUCUGACCUUAAGUAGAUAACCUCUCUCUCCUUAAAGCAUACUUUUAGACCAUAUAAAGAUGUAGAUUGAGG